AGCUAGUAAGAUCCCUGAAAGAUGAUCAGGUUGAUAGGUCAGAGGUGGAAGCACGGCGACGUGUGUAGCUGACUGAUACUAAUCGAUCGAGGACUUAACCA
rnacentral:rRNA from 1 species